rnacentral:lncRNA from 1 species
AAAAAAAAAAAAAAAAAUUUAUAAGAUUUAUGCAAAGACUUUUUUUAAGCUCAUUAGCUAUCAUUAGUGUUAGUGUAUUUUAUGUGUGGCCCAAGACAAUUCUUCUUCCAGGGUAGCUCAAGGAAGACAAAAGAUUGGACACCUCUGCUGUAGACUUUCUUUUCACUUAUCUAAUUGUUUCCUUUGCUGUGCAAAAAGCUUUUAGUUUGAUGCAAUUUCAUUUAUUUAUUUGCUUUCUUCUCUGUGCUUUUGAGGUCUUAUUUUAAAAAUUCUUGCCCAGCCCAAUGUGAAGAAUUUUUCCUAUGUUUUCUUCUAGUAGUUUAAUAGUUAUGGGUUUUACACUUAAGUCUUGUCUUUAAUCCAUUUUGAGUCAAUUUUUCUAUAUGAUGAGAAGUAUGGGCUUAGUUUUAUUCUUCUGCAUGUGGAUAUCUGGUUCUCCCAGCACCCUUUAAGAGACUUUCUUUCCCCCAACAUGUGUUCUUGACACCUUUGUUGAAGAAAAUCAGUUGACUGUACUUGUUUGAAUUUAUUUCUGGACACUCUAUUCGGUUUUAUUAGUCUAUGUAUGUGUUUCUGUUCCAGUACCAUGUUGUUUUGGUUACUACAGCUUUGUAGCAUAUUUUUGAGUCAGGUAAUAUGAUGCCUCUAGCUUUGUUCUUUGUGCUCAGGAUUCAGUUGGCUGUUCUUAGUAUUUUGUGGUUCCAUAUGAAUGUUAGAAUUGUUUUUUCUAUUUCUGUGAAGAAUGUCAUUGAUAUUUUGAUAGAGAUUGCAUUAGGUCCGUAGAUCACUUUGGGUAAGAUGGCCAUUUUAACAAUGUUAAUUCUUCCAGUCCAUGAACAUGAGACAUUUUUCCAUUUAUUUGUGAUCUCCUCCGUUUCUUUCAUCAAAGUUUUAGAGUGUUUAGUGUAGAGGUAAAUCUUUCACUUUCUUGAUUAAGUUUAUUCCUAAGUAUCUUAUUUUUUAUAGCUUUUUAAUUUAUUGUUCAGGUAGUUCACUGUUGGCAUGUAAAAAUGCUACUGAUUUUCAGAUGUUGAUUUUGUAUCCUGCAAGUGUAAUAAAUUUGUUUAUUAGUUAUAACAAUUUUAUGGUGGAGUCUAUAGGAUUUUCUAUAUAUGAUUAUGUCAUCUGCAAACAGGGACAAUUUGACUCCCUCCUUUCCAAUUUGGAUGUCUUUUAUUUCUGUCUCUAGUCUAAUUGUUGUGGCUAGGACUUCGAUUCCAUGUUAAGUAUAAGUGGUUAAAGUGAGUAUCAUUUUCUUUUCCUUGAUCUUAGAGAAACAGCUUUCAGCUUUUAUCCAUUCAGUCGGAUGUUAGCAGUGUGUUUGUCAGAUAUGGCUUUUAUUGUGCUGAGUUACAUAUCCUCUCUAUCUAAUUUAUUGAGAAUUUUUAUUAUGACAAGGUGUUGAAUUUUACCACAUUCUUUUUCUAUAUCUAUUGAAAGGAUCAUAUGUUUUUCUUUCUUUCUGUUAAUGUUGUAUAUUACACUUAUUGAUUUGCAUGCGUUAAACCAUCCUUGAUCUCACUUGAUAAUAGUGAAUGAUCUUUUUAAUGUGUUAGUGCAUUCAGUUUGCUAGUAUGUUGUUGAGAAUUUUUGUAUCUAUGUUUAUCAGAGAUAUUGGCAUGUAGUUCUCUUUUUUUGUUUUAUCUUUCUCCGGUUUUGUCAUCAGGUUAAUGAUGACCUCCUACAAUGUCUAUGCACCUACUCUUGCUCUUUUUCCUUUGUACGUUUUUAAGAUAUUGUCACCAACAUGUUGCUUUGUCAUAAGUCCCUUUAACCAAACACUCUUUCCUUUAACUUCUGUCCAAAGGUUAACUUUGAGUGUAUGUUUCAGCUUUCUCACCGUUUUUUAGUCUGCAAAUCUAUGCCAUGUUUAAACAAUUCUCAAAAGAGCCCUGCCAUAGGGAGGUUUUAAGCAAGCUGUUUUCAUCUAAUAAAGACAAUUGUGGCUGGCUGAGGUGGCUCAUGUCUGUAAUCCCAGCAGUUUGGGAGGCCAAGGUAAGCAGAUCACUUGAGCCCAGGAGUUCAAGACCAGCCUAGGCAACAUGGUAAAACCCUGUCUCUACUAAAAAUGCAAUUAUUAGCUGGCUAUGGUGGUACAAGCUUGUAGUCCCACCUACUUGGGAGGCUGAGGGGGAAGAUCGCUUGAGCCUGGAAGGCAAAGGUUGCAGUGAUCUGAGAUUAUACCACUCCACUCCAGCCUGAGUGACAAAGCGAGAUCUUGUCUAAAAAAAAAAAAAAAAAAAAAAAAAAAAAAGGUGAAAUACACAGUAUGACAAAAUCUGCUUCUAUGAGUAUAUGUCACAAAAAUUACUUAGUAGGCAAUCAAGUACUUGGCUUUAGUUUCUUCUUGGUUAUACUUGGUUAUAGGACUUCAAAAGCAUUUUCUUUAGAAAAAUUCUCCCAUUCAACAUAUAAAAAUAACAAUAAAAUAGAAUCUUUGAAGACAUUAUUAGUUGUUGAUGAGAACUAUUAUUUUAUGAAGUCAAUAUUUUACUUAACAUUAAAACCUGGAUACAGUUUAUUAUGAUUUUUUUUCUUUCUACACACUUCCUCACCUUCUUUAUUUCUUGUUACAUUCAUUAGUUAAAUUGAAAAAAAUAAUGAUUAACCAAACUAAGCAUCAAGUAUACUUGAGGGCACUCCCACUUCAAUCUCAGGCUAGGGAAACAUAAGUUCAGUUGGCUGCUUCACAUAACAAAUUUAAUUAAAUAUUUGGAGCAUGGUUUAAGUAGAAACAUAUUUAUCCAGGAGAUGCUAUUGAAGGGCCACAACCUAUUAUGCUUAGAUGUUAACCAUGAUUUUAAACAACUGUAGCCAUUCUAUACUGCACAGUUCAUAGGUGCAGGGCUAGAACUAGGGUGAGGCUGGGGAGGCAUAUGCCUUUGGUGCAAAAGUUAAGGGGUUACUAAAAAACUCAAGAAUUAAGAUAAUAUUUUAAUGUACUAGGAAAAAAUAAAAUGCGAAAAUAUCCAUGACGAACAAAAAAGAUAACAUUUUCAAUAAAAACAAUGUAACAUUUAAUUUGUUUAAAGUCCAGUGUUGCUUAUUAGUUAAUUUACUUCAGACUUUAACAUGACUUGGCAGAGCAUUUUAUCCUGCCAUUACUUUAUAUUUCAUUUUUUAAAUCCUCAUUCUUAUUAUUUACUUAUUUAUUAUUUUAGUGACAGGUUCUCACUUUAUCACACAGGCUGGAGUACAAUGGCAUAAUCAUGGCUCACUGUAGCUUCAACUUCCUGGGCUCAAACAAUCCUCUUGCCCUGUCCUCUUGUGUAGCUAGAACUACAGAUUCAUGCCACUAGGUCCAGGUAAUUUGUAUUUUUCAAAAACUUUUUGUAGAGAGUGGGAUCUCACUGUGUUGCCCAGGGUCAAGUGAUAUUCCCACCUGGGCCUCCCAAAGUGCUAGGAUUACAGUUAUGAGUCACUGUACCUGGCCGGCGCCUCCUAAUUUUUGCACUCAAGGUAAGUGUCUUACCCAUCUUCCACUAGUCCUGGCCCUGCAUUAAAGGCUUUCUUUGUCACUAUAGCAAAAAGUAAGCAUUUCAGGUUAUACAGUGAAAGUUCAAACCAGAUACUCUUUUUUUCACCUCUCUGUUAAGAAGAGGAUUUGACAAUGUGUAGUAGAUCAUCAACUCUAAAACUGGAAAUUAUUACUUAUGGAUAACCAUAAUCCUUUCCACCACCCCCACACGACCACCCACACCCACCACAUUCUUAUUUAAUAUCUGUAAGAGAGGAUCUCAGAGUCUGUAUUUUAUAAUAAAUGCAAAAUUGUUCUGUUGCAGGUUGUUCUGGAAUCAUAGUUGAAGAAACAGUUGGCUAGACUCUAACAGCUGUUCACAAUUUCUCGUAUCUCUCCUGAUGGAGGACAGUGUUUUUAAAGAUUGCCAUGAAUCUCCAAAAAAGUUUCUAAUAUAUUCAUUGAAAAGAAUCUGCAUGUAAGUGGGCCCUCUGAAGUUCAAAUCCAAGUUGUUCAAGGAUCAGCUGCAGUUAUCUGUGAUUAUGAGCCUCAGGAGCACGUCAGAAGGUUAGAAAGUGUGAACAGUGGUAUGGCUUGGAUAUUUGUCCCCCAUAUCUCAUUUUGAAAGCCAAAUUCAUGAGUCCAAGAAUCAAGGGGUGGAAGUAGAAGUGGCACCACUCAUCAUCUUUACUUCUAAAGUAAAGAAAAUACAAGUGUCUACCUAGACACAUAUCCAGUAAAAGAUCUUUCAAAAAUGAAGAUAAAAUUAAGACUUUUAAAGACAUUUAAGUCUGAAAAAAUUUAUCACCAGCAGACUGACAUUACCAGAAAUGUCAAAAGAAACUCUUCAGGAGGAAGAGAAUGAUACAAGGUACAAUUGUGAAUGUAUACCAAGAUAUGAAGAAUGCUGAAAAUGGUAAUUAAACCCUCUUUCUUAUUAUUUAAAGAUAGUUUAAAUAUAAUUCGAUUUUAAUGCAAAAGAGUAACAGUGUAGUAUGAAAUGAAUGAAUAUAUACUGUUGCAAGGUUCUUACAGAAUACAUGGAAUGGUAUAAUAAUACUCGAAGGUAAACUAUUGUAAGUUACGUAUUUAUAUUAUAAAUCCUAAAGCCACCAUAAAAUAACAAAACACACAGAUAAGAAAUAAGCCCACAAAGGAGAUUUAAAAAGUAAAACACACUCAGUUGAGGAAAAUAAGGCAGAGAGAUGAACAAGAGAACAAAAAACAGAGAGGGCUAAUAUAAAACAAAUAACUGGCACAUUUCAACCUAACCAUAUUAAUAAUCAGAUUAGACAUAAAUGGUCUAAACACACUUUAAAAUGCAGAGAUUACCAAAGAGGAUAAAAUAGCCAAUUAAAAUCCCAACAUUCUUUUUUGUAAAAAAAUGGCAUACUGAUUCUAAAAUACAUAUUGAUAGGCAAAAGAUCUAAACUAUGUAAAUCAGCUUUGGAAAAGAACAGAGUUAGAGGACCAACAGUACCUGAUUUCAAAAUUUCUCAAAGUUGUUUAGGUAUUCUAAGUCUUUAGUAUAUCCAUAUGAACAUUAGAAUUACAAUCCAUAGGUUCAUCAUAUACAAAAAUUAACUCAAAAUGGAUCAUAAACCUUAAUGUAAAAUCUAAAACUAUAUAUAACUGUCAAAAAUCUAAAACUAUAAAAUCUAAAACUGUUAGACUUAUGCAGGUAACCUUUAUGACCUCAUGUUAGGCAAAAAUUUACUAGAUAAAAUACCAAAAGCGCAGUUCACAAAAGAGAAAAUUCAUAGACUGGACUUCAUCAAAAUUGAAAACUUCUGAUCUUAAAAAGAACAGGAAGGGGAACAUCACACUCUGGGGACUAUUGUG